CUAAAGUAUUAUCACUUAUUUUUGUUACACCUUGUAUAUUUCAUAAUCUAUUCGGCCUAGGCUCAGUUUCCGUCACCGUCUUACGGUCAAUAUGAUCCCUGAGAAACUACACAAUUUUGUUUGAAGUUUCGCAUCAUGAACAAUUUUAGGCUGAGUAGACGGGAUAGUUUUAAAAUAUCUUUACACCAUUAUUUUACUGCCCAUUAAAAUGUUGCUAAUUGUCGACGCUAUUUGCGGUCGCCGUACGUCGAUUUUACAGUUCUAAAUUGUAGGCGAUAAAGAAAUAUGGAAAAAUAAAUCUAAUGUUGUUUCUUUAACCAAUGUCACUAUUUCUAACAUGUGGCAAUCGUUUACCUUUCAAUUAACUAUUUCAUAUAUCCAAAAUGGUUGCCAUAUUGAGAUUUAGGCACGGAUAGGCCGCGCACAGCUUUAGGAUCAUUCAGCAAGGCCCUUUUUCUAUUUUUGCAGUUUUCGAUUGUUUGGUAUCUUUGAUGAGGUGAUGGUGGGUGCGCCGACGCGUGAUAAAAAAUUUGUACUAACACAAAUGUUUAUUCAUAGGCAGAUUGGGCACCCACGUAAUUUGUUCGCGUUAUGUCAAUCCGAGUCGAUAGAUCGCGAUUGACAUGAUCCGAUCAAAUGACGUGGAUCUGUCAACUGCCUAUAAAUCAAUUUCCUCGAUGGUAAUGUUAUGUUCUGUAAUCUGUGAGCUGUAACUUAUAAGCUACUUUGUAUGUACUUUUAGCGUCAGUUCUCGCUGAAAUGUCGCUGAAAUCCAAAGCAUAACAGCAAUUGCUAAGUCGUGCUUCGUCUCGUGUCGGUGUGCCGUGUGACUGACCUUUAGGCCUUGAUUACACUUACCGAGUACCACGCCCUCGGCUGAGCACUCGAUAUGUAAUAAACACAUUAAUUGCGAGCGAUAGGCCAAUACAAUAUAAGUACAAUACAUAAAUAUACAUACCGCGUGUUGGCUAAGGGCACUGUCUCACCACUCUACCUACUCGGCAGGUGCAAUCAGGCCCUUAGCGUCUGUUCACAUCCAGAUGUCAGACGAGACCUGUUAAUUGUGUGUUACUACAUUUUAAGCACCCUGAUUUUGUUUAAGAAAAUAAAUGAAUUAAGUAUUUGUAAUUUUGUGAUAAGGCCAGAAAAAUACUUACCGUAUUAAACAUUAUCAUGCAUAAAACUGUGAUUAUCAUGACAUUUUUUAAUUUAUAAUAAAACAUUAUUUGUUAA